rnacentral:rRNA from 1 species
GACGAACGCUGGCGGCGUGCUUAACACAUGCAAGUCGAACGGAAAGGCCCUGCUUUCGUGGGGUGCUCGAGUGGCGAACGGGUGAGUAACACGUGAGUAACCUGCCCUUGACUUUGGGAUAACUUCAGGAAACUGGGGCUAAUACCGGAUAGGAGCCCCUGCUGCAUGGAGGGGGUUGGAAAGUCUCGGCGGUUGGGGAUGGACUCGCGGCUUAUGAGCUUGUUGGUGGGGUAGUGGCUUACCAAGGCUUUGACGGGUAGCCGGCCUGAGAGGGUGACCGGCCACAUUGGGACUGCGAGACGGCCCAGACUCGUACGGGAGGCAGCAGUGGGGAAUAUUGCACAAUGGGAGGAAGCCUGAUGCAGCAACGCCGCGUGCGGGAUGACGGCCUUCGGGUUGUAAACCGCUUUCGCCUGUGACGAAGCGUGAGUGACGGUAAUGGGUAAAGAAGCACCGGCUAACUACGUG